rnacentral:lncRNA from 1 species
GAGAGAAUUCUGGGAACCCAAACAUAUUCUGCUGCUUCAAGACAUGAGGAACACAGUUCCCACGGGCCUCUCCUUAAGGUUUUAGUAAUCAUAAAACCAUUCCAAAUGCUGGCCAAGUGCAGCUAAUUUCAGUGGUGGAAUUUCUGAGAAUGACAGCCAUUGUCUAAGCAUUCAUCAAAGCAUGUUACAGGGAACCUGGAUUCAAUUCCUAGCACCCACAUGGAGGUUCAUGAACACCUAUAACUCCAGUUCUAAGAGAUCCAAUAUUCUUUUCUGGCCUCUGAAACAUCAGACACACACAAGAUCAAAUGCCCUGUACAGCAUGAAUGCAGACCUUAAGAGGAAGUGGGAUCAGAAACAAUGAAGAGUUCAAUAUCAUAGGUCACAAGAGGUUCUGGGAAAUGGAAUUCCAGGAUUAUCAGUGUGUGGUGUUUCAGAACAGUCACAUACGUCUACAACGUGCUGUGCAAUCUCAGCUUUUUAAAUGACAUUGACAUUGUUCUCUGAUUCAGAAUUCCAGACAAUCUCAGGGAAGACAUUAAAAAAUU